GGGCUCGUGGCUUAGCCUGGAUAUAGCGCUGGCCUUCUAAGCCAGAUGUCUCGGGUUCGAAUCCCUUAUCUAGGGGGCGAAAAUCCCGACGGGCCCGCCA
rnacentral:tRNA from 1 species